rnacentral:rRNA from 1 species
GGGCCCGCACAAGCGGUGGAGCAUGUGGUUCAAUUCGACGCAACGCGAAGAACCUUACCCAGACUUGACAUGCACUGGACUGGUGUGGAAACACAUCUUCCCUUCGGGGCCGGUGCACAGGUGCUGCAUGGCUGUCGUCAGCUCGUGUCGUGAGAUGUUGGGUUAAGUCCCGCAACGAGCGCAACCCUUGUCCUUAGUUGCUAACGAGUCAAGUCGAGCACUCUAAGGAGACUGCCGGUUUCAAACCGGAGGAAGGUGGGGAUGACGUCAAGUCCUCAUGGCCCUUACGUCUGGGGCUACACACGUGCUACAAUGGCCGGUACAGAGGGCUGCGAUACCGCGAGGUGGAGCCAAUCCCAAAAAACCGGUCUCAGUUCGGAUUGCAGUCUGCAACUCGACUGCAUGAAGUCGGAAUCGCUAGUAAUCGCUGAUCAGCAGGCAGCGGUGAAUACGUUCCCGGGCCUU